rnacentral:rRNA from 1 species
AUUGAACGCUGGCGGCAGGCCUAACACAUGCAAGUCGAACGGUAACAGGAAGCAGCUUGCUGCUUCGCUGACGAGUGGCGGCCGGGUGAGUAAUGUCUGGGAAGCUGCCUGAUGGAGGGGGAUAACUACUGGAAACGGUAGCUAAUACCGCAUAAUGUCGCAAGACCAAAGAGGGGGACCUUCGGGCCUCUUGCCAUCGGAUGUGCCCAGAUGGGAUUAGCUUGUUGGUGGGGUCACGGCUCACCAAGGCGACGAUCCCUAGCUGGUCUGAGAGGAUGACCAGCCACACUGGGACUGAGACACGGUCCAGACUCCUACGGGAGGCAGCAGUGGGGAAUAUUGCACAAUGGGCGCAAGCCUGAUGCAGCCAUGCCGCGUGUAUGAAGAAGGCCUUCGGGUUGUAAAGUACUUUCAGCGGGGAGGAAGGGAGUAAAGUUAAUACCUUUGCUAAUUGACGUUACCCGCAGAAGAAGCACCGGCUAACUCCGUG